rnacentral:lncRNA from 1 species
CUCCUUUUCCUACAAUUGGCACCAUUAACCAAAUAUAAGUAGAAUCCGACAAUUAAAACAAUAUUUGGCUAAAAUCAAGGGAAUAAUAAUUAUAAAUUUAGCACCAAAUUAUGACUUAUCACCUUUCCUGUGUGGCUUAAUAGAGAAGCCCACAAUGAUUUCCUGGCAGUUGCCAGUCUUUUGUAAAUCUGCUGUGCAGACUAAGCUGUAAUCAGUUAUAUAUUUAUAGAAGUUGAAAUUUGACAAAAAAAAAAAAAAUAGAGCUAGCACAGCAUAUGCUCACACGAUUGGACAUUUUCUCUAUCAACUCAUCCACUAUCUGCUACAAAAUUUCAAUCUUCUUGGGAUUCAUCUAAUAAUGUGGCAGAUUUAGAAAACUCACUGACGGGUUUUCACUUUAAGUGCAAGUUUAAUUCCGAUUUUACACCCGUUGGACUGCAAGUAUACAGGUCGCAAUUUUAGUACAAGAUGCGUAUCGGGAAAAGAAAAUAUUCCAAGUUUUCUAAUCCAAUAUUAAAACUGCUAAUGAAGAUUAAAAUCUUCAAAAUCUUCCUUCAAAAAUUGCCUUGAAUUCGACUCAGACUUGGAAACCAACCCCAAACGUGCCAAUAUCUAAUGAAUUGGAAAAUUGUCACUUUUAAUCACGUUUUGCUCCUUUUCCUACAAUUGGCACCAUUAACCAAAUAUAAGUAGAAUCCGACAAUUAAAACAAUAUUUGGCUAAAAUCAAGGGAAAAAUAAUUAUAAAUUUAGUAACAAAUUAUGACUUAUCAAUUUUCCGCACACCUAAACCAUGCUUGUCCUCAAGCAUGAGAACAACAAAUCAAGCAAUCGAAUUCAAACAAUGGAUAUUGCUCAAAUCUUCUAUUGCCAAAACGCAAUUAAAACACAUGUCAAGCAUUAGUGAUUAAAUUUCAAGAAAUAUCUCUCCAAGUAACUUUCAAGAUUAAGAACUCUUUCAAUUUAUGGCUAACUAAUCUAAGAAUAUAAAAUAUUCAACCAGCAUCCAUAAGCAAAUGGUUCGACUAUUAAUCAAAAUCUCAACAUUAAAAUUCAUGGAUCAACGGGCUAACAAUUCAUUCACAUUUUUCACUAUUAGCACUUUUUUUUCUAAAAUAUCCCCACACUUGAUUGAUUUUUUUUUUCAGGGGGAAUGCUUAGUUUUUAGCCAUUCAAGCGUUUUGACGCGAACUCUGACAUUUGCCACAUGAAGGAGCCCGGUUAC